CCGCUGGGGCUUCGGACGGCCUGCACCACUGGCUGCCCCCCAGCCUGGAUGGCAGCUCCAUCCGCUCUGAGCGCUCAUUGCCCCAGCGGGACGGGCUGGACAUAAGCCUCUCCGCCGGCGCACCCACAGCCCCAGGGACCCUGGUACCCGCGCCAGCCGCAGAAUGACCCCCUCUGACCGGCCGUUGCCCUUCCUAAGAGCUGUUUUGCAGACGUUUUCUUUUUUAAAUAAUGGACUCUAAUAGGAAACCCAGCCGAAGAUGGUGGAGAAAGAAGACGCAGGGAAAGGUAUUUUAUUGGCUGGUGCGAAACCCCACGACAGUGAACAAAACUGACAAAAACCACUCUUUGUGGAAUUGACGUCCUGGUGGGGGCACAGGAGAUAGUGGCGUGAAGAAAUAAUGGAGACAGUUCCAGUGACAAUAGGUGCUGCGAUGGUGUCAGAGGAGGCCUCGCUGCAGAGGUGGUGACAUGUGCUGUGAACUGAGACAUGAUUGAACACCUGAAGCAAGAGCGUUUCCUGUGAGGGGACAGCAGGUGCCAAGCCCCCGAGCGGGGGCGGGAACACCAAGGCGGGGAGGUGACUGGCCACCUCACUCAGGGCCCGUGGGCUCAGGGGAGGACUGUACUUUUGCUCUAAGUGAGGUGGGAGCCAUGGAGAGUUCUCGGUGAGGGAAGGGCUUGACUUGGUUCAGUGUUCACAGAUUUCUGUGUGAGGCCAAGGUGGUAGUUGGAAGAACAAGGUGGUGGCUGCACUGGCCACGGAGAGUGAUGAUGGGGACUCUGACCACGUGGGUUCUGGAUAGAUUUUGGAAACAGCAGACAGAAUUACUGAGGAAUUGAGUGUGGGAGCGAGAAAGGAGUCCAGGACAGCUCUCCCUCCGGCUUAGAGGCGAGAACACCAAAGACAGGGCACCCUGCAAUGGGACUCUGGGAGACUCAGCCAAUUCUGAGCUGAAACAAGAUUUGAGCGUGUGUCAGAUCCUUCAUAAAGAAUAAAAAUGUAAUAAAAUAAUACGA